GACGAACGCUGGCGGCGUGCUUAACACAUGCAAGUCGAACGGAAAGGCCCUGCUUUUGUGGGGUGCUCGAGUGGCGAACGGGUGAGUAACACGUGAGUAACCUGCCCUUGACUUUGGGAUAACUUCAGGAAACUGGGGCUAAUACCGGAUAGGAGCUCCUGCUGCAUGGUGGGGGUUGGAAAGUUUCGGCGGUUGGGGAUGGACUCGCGGCUGAUCGGCUUGGUGGUGGGGUAGUGGCUGACCAAGGCUUGGACGGGUAGCCGGCCGGGGAGGGUGACCGGCCACAUUGGGACUGAGAGACGGCCCAGACUCCUACGGGAGGCAGCAGUGGGGAAUAUUGCACAGUGGGCGGAAGCCUGAUGCAGCAACGCCGCGUGCGGGAUGACGGCCUUCGGGUUGUAAACCGCUUUCGCCUGUGACGAAGCGUGAGUGACGGUAAUGGGUAAAGAAGCACCGGCUAACUACGUG
rnacentral:rRNA from 1 species